CAGCCGCCGCGGGAAAACGAAGGGGGCUAGCGUUGCUCGGAAUUACUGGGCGUAAAGGGGGCGUAGGCGGACAUUUAAGUCAGGGGUGAAAUCCCAGAGCUCAACUCUGGAACUGCCUUUGAUACUGGGUGUCUUGAGUGUGAUAGAGGUAUGUGGAACUCCGAGUGUAGAGGUGAAAUUCGUAGAUAUUCGGAAGAACACCAGUGGCGAAGGCGACAUACUGGAUCAUUACUGACGCUGAGGCUCGAAAGCGUGGGGAGCAAACAGGAUUAGAUACCCCUGUAGUCCCUGUCUCUUAUAC
rnacentral:rRNA from 1 species